GUACUGACUGUGGCGGAACAUUUAGUAAAAUUGAAACGAUAUUGAGGAAGUUAGGACGAUCUUGCGCAAGGAUGACACACAAAAUCGUGAAGUGUUCCAGAUCGGC